UUCGGGAACCGUUUCGUUUUU
rnacentral:piRNA from 1 species